CGCUGCGGCUCGUGCUGUGCGCGCUGGGGCUGGCGCUCUCCGUGUACGCGCUGCACGUGGAGAGCUCGCGGGAGCGGGCCCCCGGGUACCGGGCCAUGUGCGACCUGAGCCCCUCCGUCAGCUGCUCCAAGGUCUUCACCUCCAGACUAAAAGAGAGAGGGACCUGUGUGACAUUCUCCACCCCGCUGAGCAGCCAGAUUGAGGUGACAAUCCCAAAGUCUCCAGAGUCAAGCACAGAACCCAGGAGUCCUGGCUCCCAGGCCCAACUGCGCCUCUGGGAAUGAUCCAGGAUGGGGCAACUCCAGACUCUGCCUCAACACUGGAGAGCAGAGCCGAGACACCAGGACCUGCCGCAUCAGUGGAGGGGAGUAGACCUGAGGCUCCAGAGACAUCUCCCAACAAAGUUCCUGCAGAUACGGUCCAGAUACGGGAAACAGGAGCUGGGUCUCCAUGGCCCAUUCCAUCCCUGACCACGGGCUGACUCGGCCGAUGAGGAAGUCAGUCAGGGCCCUCCACAUUCCCCUGGUUCUUCCAUCCAGCGUCUCCAUACACCCGCUGCGCCCGAGCGCCUACCCAUCCCCUGUGUAUUGUCCACCUGUGAAGGAUGUGGAAGGUGCCAGGACUGUUUUACAAACACUUCAUGUAUUAGCUGUGUCAGACCUGCUUCCUGUACAGCCCCGGCUCCACACCUUGGCUGCUUUGCUCCAGCCCUAUGCCCUGCCUGCCUUGAACCCCUGGCUCUGACCCUUGGUUGGCCUCCCGACCGCACCUCCGCUUCUGCCCUCCAGCUCUGCUUUGACCACUAGGCAAGACUCCUGCUCUGACCAUGAGGUUGCACCACCUACAUCUCGGUGUGGGACACCCAGCCCCGGGAGUGGGGAGUGGGGUCUGGGUAAGGGAAGCCUCCCUAAGUGUUAGCUGAGACAGAGGCGUGUGAACGGUUGGGUGGGUUAGAUCCCUUUGCUUCUUAGGCUUUGGGCCCCUCCGUUGAGAUGAAUGGAGCUGGCGUUUGGAAAAGGCUGGUGUCUGUCCCUGUAUUCACACACUGGCCUCAGCUCCCGGAGGUGAGCAUGGCAGGGCCAGGCCCAGGCCCAGCUGCAGGAGGAAUCACCGCUGGGACUAUAGCUAUUUCCCUGGUCUGUGACUGGGCGCAUGGGGAGAUUCUUCCUCAGGGGGGUGAAGCCUUGAGGCCUAAAUCUUGGGAACAGAGACAUAGAGGAGGCCAAGGUGCAGCUGGCGCUGAGCUGUGACACCAUCCUGGGUGGUGACGCCUUCGUGUCCGUCUGCAGGGAGAAGAGCCGUGAAGACGGUCCUGUCCUAGCUGAGAAUCAUGAACUUCAGAAACACGAACCUCAGGCUGAGGGAUCUCUUGGAAAUCAGUCCAGACAGCGUGAAGGACUCGACUCCUUAUACCUGGGGAGACUUGCCUAGGCACUUCAUAGAAUCAUAGAAUAUCAGGGUUGGAAGGGACCUCAGGAGGUCAUCUAGUCCAACC